UGAGUGGCGGACGGGUGAGUAACGCGUGGGCAACCUGGCCUGUACAGGGGGAUAACACUUAGAAAUAGGUGCUAAUACCGCAUAACGGGGGAAGCCGCAUGGCUUUUCCCUGAAAACUCCGGUGGUACAGGAUGGGCCCGCAUCUGAUUAGCCAGUUGGCAGGGUAACGGCCUACCAAAGCGACGAUCAGUAGCCGGCCUGAGAGGGCGGACGGCCACACUGGGACUGAGACACGGCCCAGACUCCUACGGAAGGCAGCAG
rnacentral:rRNA from 1 species